rnacentral:lncRNA from 1 species
UCUAUAAAGAGACAUUCUGCUUCAUUUAGCCUUUGGUACUUUAAUACCCAAUUUUCAUUAAAAACAAAAAAAGAAGAAGAAACAAAUUAUCUGUGAGUGUCACAAGUAAGGAAUGGCGGACAAUCUUGAUAGAGGGCAUUACAUAUGGACAGAACUACUUCAGUCUUGACAAAUUUCUUCAGCAAUUCCAGUGAUCUGUGGCUACCGCACACUUAAUUUACAUGCCUGGACAUUUGAUACGUAUUUUUUUUUAUUUUGGUGAGCUAGUCAUCGAUUGCUAGACAUACGAGUGUGUGCUGGCAAAUGCUGCAAUGCAGUAUUUUUCCAAUGUCAUUGCAAGUUUGGGGGGGAUAAAAAGGGACAUGAACACUCUCAAGCUUGUAUCUUAAAGUCUUGCAGGUGAUGGACUGUAGGCAGAAUUAGUUGAUUCCCCUUUGGAAGGAAGCAAUGUUAACUUUUCAUUCCUGAUUACCCAUUCCUUCAUGCAUUUGAUGGAUAUGGGGGAGGGCAGUAUCUGUACUUUUACGAAUUCUUGCGUCUGUCUUAGCUUUUUCUUAUUUGGUGUUAACCAAAUGUGUUAACAUUAACCUGUACGUGUAUAUGGAUCUCUCAAUGGAAAAGAAACUGAAGUAGGCUGCUUUUCUUAAGUACUUUAUUUUCUGUAUUAAUUCUAAGAGUUCUCCUAUUAGAAAAAAACAUAAAUUUUCAUAUAUUUAUCCAAAAAGAUGUUGAGACUCUAGAGACUUCCAUUAGAAGCCAAACACUUUCUGUGCCAACCUCUUGAGGAGCUAUAAAUGUGCAAAUCCUGAACUAUGUCUGUGAGCUAAAAGAGGGCCCACUCGAUCAAGAGAUCAAGGGAUAGAGUUUGAAAUAAAAUGGAGGCUUUUGUUCUUUGGGGGCUUAUUAAUGUAAUAUUAGCAGUGGUAAUAGUAAGAAUAAUGAGGAGGAGGAGGUGGUAGAAUAGCCCUGUUGCCAUCCUAUGUUUUGUUUUGUUUUGUUUUCAAGUUUUGUAAGUGUAGGGUAUUUUAGGGUCACCCUCUGGCUUUAAAGCCUCAGCUAUUUUUUUAUAGCUAGAGGAUGUCUGUAGAUCAAUGGCUUCUAUAGGUUAAAAGGGGGGAGGGUAACCUAAAGGCAAGUGGGUAGGUGGAGGUUUCACAAGCAGUGAUUGUCUUAAUUUAGCUAUCUAGCAAUUAAAAGGAAAAAAAGACUGAAAGACAAGAAUGAGAGGGAGGAACGUAGUUGGGUAGGGGGGCAUUGGAUCAUGACACACAGGACAUCAACAUGUGGAUCUAUAGCUUUCUGGUGUAGAAGAUAAUGAGUAAUAAAUCUGAACUGUUAAAUGCAAGAUGCCCCGUGAUUUCACAGAACCUUGACUUUGCAGGUUCAUUACUUCCUUGUUUGCUUGUUCACACCUUUAAUAAUAGCCAGUUUGUGGUGCUAGCUGGGGUACAGAGAUGAGCCAUUUUGUUUGUUGUUUAGCUCAUUAAGAAUUCAGUCAGCAUGUCCACAAUAGCUUUGGAGCAUCAGUGUUAGGAACCAAUCACUUUGGAAAGGAAAUUGUUACAAAAGGAAGAAAAUAGGAAAGCGAUCAGCCAGCUAGCUAGGUAUGGACAUCCAUUUAGCUUGGUGGUAAUAUUUAUGUUGUUCAUGAAUUCAUUAAAAAAUAAACUACAUUUUUGGUGCUCUUAUCAGGCUAGUGCCUCGCUCUCCCACCCCUCCCAGGUCUCUCUUCUCCCCUCUUUCUCCCCUAACCCGGAGAUUCUGCCUCCACCAUUUUUGCUUUGAACUAGUCUUACGGAGAUCCUUGUAGUUAACACCUGAGAUUAGCACUCACACACACACACGCACACGCACACGCACAUGCACCAGUAAAAAUUGUCUCAAGACUCAAGAAAUGCUGAGAUUAAUCAAAGAAUCUUUAAAUUAAUUUCAGUUAAGAAAUCAGUAAAAAUAUUGAAGAAAUAUUGUUAGUACAUUGUGUUUACAUCUUCGUUGCUGAUGCUAUUGUUAAAGGAUACUUGUUUUUAACCCCAGAAGUAGUUAAAUACAAAACUAACAUAUGGGGUUUUGCUAGU